AAUAUUGCACAAUGGAGGAAACUCUGAUGCAGCGACGCCGCGUGAGUGAUGAAGGCCUUCGGGUCGUAAAACUCUGUCCUAGGGGACGAUAAUGACGGUACCCUAGGAGGAAGCCCCGGCUAACUACGUGCCAGCAGCCGCGGUAAUACGUAGGGGGCAAGCGUUGUCCGGAUUUAUUGGGCGUAAAGGGUUCGCAGGCGGUCUCUUAAGUUAGAUGUGAAAGAUCACGGCUCAACCGUGGUAAGCAUUUAAAACUGGGAGACUUGAGUUAAGGAGAGGAAAGUGGAAUUCCUAGUGUAGCGGUGAAAUGCGUAGAUAUAGGAAGGAACACCAGUGGCGAAGGCGACUACCUGGACUGAUACUGACACUGAGGUGCGAAAGCGUGGGGAGCAAAC
rnacentral:rRNA from 1 species